UACGGGGGGUGCAAGCGUUGUCCGGAAUCAUUGGGCGUAAAGCGUUCGUAGGCGGUAUAUCAAGUCUGGUGUUAAAGCCCGGGGCUCAACUCCGGUUCGGCACUGGAUACUGGUAAACUAGAAUGUGGUAGAGGUAAGGGGAAUUCCUGGUGUAGCGGUGAAAUGCGUAGAUAUCAGGAGGAACAUCGGUGGCGAAAGCGCCUUACUGGGCCAUUAUUGACGCUGAGGAACGAAAGCCAGGGGAGCAAAU
rnacentral:rRNA from 1 species